GGAAUAUUGGACAAUGGGGGAAACCCUGAUCCAGCGACGCCGCGUGGGUGAAGAAGGCCUGCGGGUUGUAAAGCCCUUUCGGUGGGGAAGAAAAGCCUCGACCUAAUACGUCGGGGUCUUUACGUAACCCACAAAAGAAGCACCGGCUAACUCUGUUCCAGCAGCCGCGGUAAUACAGAGGGUGCGAGCGUUAAUCGGAAUUACUGGGCGUAAAGCGCACGUAGGCGGUUUGUUAAGCAAGAUGUGAAAGCCCAGGGCUCAACCUUGGAAUAGCAUUUUGAACUGGCAGACUAGAGUUUUGAAGAGGGUGGUAGAAUUUCCAGUGUAGCGGUGAAAUGCGUAGAUAUUGGAAGGAAUACCAGUGGCGAAGGCGGCCACCUGGUCAAAAACUGACGCUGAGGAGCGAAAGCGUGGGGAGCA
rnacentral:rRNA from 1 species